UGUCACCCUCUCGAUCAGUUUUCCAGCGCGGUUUGCUGUAAGAAAGACGCGAACCUUCUGUAACUUCUCAGAGGUUGCCGCUAGCCAGCUUUUGUGCUUCACCACCAUGUAACAAGCCAUAAGCUUUUCAUUAAGAACAAGAUCAAGAUUACACUCCUAUUGGUUCGUGAGUAGUCAUGUCACAAGACGGACACAAGUCUUUGCAUUUUAUAUAUAUAUAUAUAUAUAUAUAUAUAUACAAAUAGAUAAGGAAUUUAUUGAUAAAAAUGAAAAAACAGAAUACUUAAAAACAUAAUAAGGAUCUGUGUAAACGUUUAGCCACAGUGAGCAAGUCCCAAUACGUGAAAAUCCGAAGAUGCUAAAUUUCCAGCAAAACAUGAAAGUUGAGAUGAGGGCAGCAGUUACAAUUCCCCACUCUCUCUUCUCCCAAAUGAACUGCAAGGAACUCACUUUCACAGCCUGCCUUUAAAGGCUUGGGGGGCGCAGUUCCUUAGCAGUGAGAUAAUGGUGGCCCCACCGCUUGGAGGGGAGACACCCACAAAACACAAGAAAGAUCGGAGAACGAGAUUGUCCACAUAGAAACGAAAUAAUAGACAAAUGCAAUAAAACUAAGAAUGUGGAAUUGGAUAAAUAAUAGGGGGUGCUCUACAAUAGCAAACCCUGCGCUCUGAUCUCCAAAAGUCCUACGAAAAGGCAGAGAAUAUCAAAUCAUAUAUGAGCCAAAUCAAAAAUGAACAAAAGAAAUUUAAACAUAAUGAUAAUAUCCCUUAUCUACCCCUAACCUAACCCUUAUCUAUCUACAUUCAAGAACACAGUAAUGUCCCUUAUGGUUGGAAUGUUCCUGAGGUUGACCAGCCCAAGAUUUGAACUCAGAUCUCUCAAUAGCCAUACGCAGUUCCCAAGUACCAUCCCAUAAUUUAAUUUCUCCGUAAAUAUUCCUUAUCCCAAAAUAUAUGAAGCCGUGAAAUGUCAGAAUGAGAGCAGCAGAGAUAUCGGACAACUGCCGAACAAGAUUAUUUGAUUUAGCCAGUCCCAGUACUCCUCAUGGAGGACUUGCGUCACAUUACGGCUUUGAUGGACUUGUUCCAUAAGAACAUUUGUGACAGCUGAACUGAAGAAACCCCAUGAAGUAACACUUAACUAACAAUUCCUGUAUUGACUGAGCAGUGCAAUUAAUAGUAGGAGUAGAAUGUUUUAGCAUCGUUGAAUAGAAAGCCUGAGAGGUGGUAGAGGAGGAAGAAGAAGAAGGAGUGUACGGCCAAAGAAAAAGGGGUAAAGAGAAGGAAGAUGAGAAAGAGAAAGAUUGAGAAAAAAAGAUGGUAGUGGUGGUAGAAGAUGGGCACCAAGCCGGGGAAGGUAAUUGCACCAGAAAGCCAAGCAUCGAGAACAAAGUCAGUCUGUCUGUUUGAGGAGACCCCAUCCGUCUCCAUUCUUAAAGUUGUGCUCGUCCGAGCUUGCUCCCUACAGAGACUGAAAAGGGAGGUUCAUUGUGGAUUUCCCCACACACCAAAGCUAUUUCUCUCUGGAAUGUAAUGUCAGUUACAUCCCAAAGGUCACAACAAGAUGGAGGACUUUUCUCUCUCUGUCCGUCUGGUGACUUGUCAAUCUGCUCUGCAGAGUGUUGGCACCGCAGGUCUAUUCCCAAGACCUCCUCAUCGAUAAGUCCAUAGGGGAAUACGGAUUCUUGCCAUUUUAGUUCCAAAUCGUCAUGCACAGGAUCACAAGUGUGAUGAUCACGCAGGAGCUUUCAAGAUGACUCACUUUUCACUUGACUCCAAUGUGGCCGAAAUACUGAGCUGCACCUUCAAUUCACUCGCAUUAGCCGGGAUCAGGCUCAGGUUUUUCAUUUUAUUUAACUUAAAUUAAUACAAAUACUAACUGUAGAUGUCUCUUUUAUCACCAAUAACACCCAGGACAGAUAGCAAGUGCCAACUAACCUGUUAAUGAAGUAUGUGUAACCCACCAAUGGUUUCUUCAGUUUGGCUGUCCCAGUGUUAAUAUCCGUUGACUGCAGCUAUGACAAAAAAAAUAAUUACCGUAUAUACUCGCGAAUAAGUCGAGGCUUUUUACCGUAUAAUUUCUGGUAUUUUAUAAUGUCGGCCAUAUAAGUCAAAUGCAGAAUACUCGUGCUAUUGGUCCAGCAGAUUACGAUAUGCUAAAGCUUGCCCACCUGAGAGAGUAACCACUGAGCACGCGGCCUUUGUUUUCUAUGUAUUGUGCCUACGUGACCACACGGUAAUACCUGAACUAAUCCGAACUGACGUUUGCACUGAUUUGUGUUUUUUGUAUCCUCAUACACCUUUAAAGUUUAUCUACGAUGGAGCAUUUGAUCAGAAACGUCAUUGAAGCAGCGAAAGAAAUUGAUAUUUGCACUGCUGCAACAAAAUUCGCUGUGUCUGAGAAACUGAUGCGAGAGAGAUUGGAGGAGGCAAGAAGAUGUUAAAAAAAAAAUGAAUUAAUUGUCCCAUUUUUGAACGAACGUAUAAAUCGGGGUCUGAUUUUAUGAUCGAUUUGUUGGGUUUCACGAUCCAACUUAUACGUGACUAUAUACAGUAUCAUAUAACCGAGAUCAGGUUAAUUCUUUAUGUGGAUUGUAAUCUAAUGAGGAUUACAUUACCGCUCUUGAACCCUCAUCCUCACUGUGGACUGGACACAAGUGACCUGGAGCGCCUUCCAUUACUGUUAUCUGUAGGGAAUGAUGCUGUCAGAAAGUCAAAAAUCAAGCAGAAUUACCAGCAUCAGCAAUGGGUAUCCCACUACUGACACCACUGUAACCAACAUCAGAUUCUUCCUUAUCACCCAAUGUGCUUUGUCACCCUGUGCAGAGCUAAAUUGUUCGGAGUAUAAUCUGAGCGUCAAUCACUGCAGACAUCUGUUGGCGCACUGCUCUCCAUGGUUCACACAUUAAACAGUAUUUCAGUCUUUCCCAGUCAAAUUCACAUGGGUAUCCCCCUACUGACACCACUGUAACCAACAUCAGAUUCUUACCUAUCAUCCACUGUGCACCGUCACCCUAUGAUGAGCUACCUUGGUCCGAGUCUAACCUGAGCGUCAAUCACUGCAAACAUCUGCUGGCGCACUGCUCUCUCUGGUUCACACGUUAAACAGUAUUUCAGUCUUUCCCAGUCAAAUCCACAUGGGUAUCCCACUACUGACACCACUGUAACCAAGAUUAGAUUCUUCCUUAUCUACCCUGAGCAUCAAUUACUGCGGACAUCUGUUGGCACACUGCUCUCCAUGGUUCACACAUUAAACAGUAUUUCAGUCUUUCCCAUUCAAAUUCACAUGGAUAUGCCACUACUGACACCAUUGUGGUUAUAAUUUUGAAUACUAAUAAAGUUUAUCUAAUCUAAUAAUCAGAUUCGCCCUAAAAAUUUGUUUGGCUGUCACUUGUGAUUACAAUGUAGCCUUCAUGCUUACAACUCUGUAGUGGACAAUAAACACCCCUGGUUUGGGGGGGCGUGAUGGAUUGUGGGUAUAGGACCACCCGCACCAACUAACAGACUUUUAUGUCAAACAUUGUCAUAUUUUACUUUGCUUAUAAUCCCCAUCCCCACUACACCCGCCACCGUAGAUUGGGUUUGCUCUUAGUAUCCUCCAUCUGGGAGUGAACCCAGCCUCUCGUUCUCUUAACCCAAAAAUUCAAUCCAAAAUAAAAACAAUAUAAAGAGGAUCUGUUGUAUUCCAGUGAGCAUGCGCGCUUAUUCAUUAUAAGCAACGCCGGAUUCUCUCGCACUCGCAUUUACCAUUCAUGGUGAAGAACAUCCCACUGCUGACACCACUGUUACCCAGAAUGACUCAUUCUCAGCCUUUGGAUUCAAACCCCAGUCUUGCGCUACCUGUUUGAUUCUCUUUAGGACUGGCAUUUGUAAGUUUGAGUCUAAGUGUAUCUAAUAAAUAUGCGCACAUCUCGAUAGAAAAAUAAUACGAACAAAGGGCUUAUACACCAGAGGCUGAGAGGAGAUGCAAAAGCGGAACCAUAUUAUACAAGUGGAAUGAUAAAUCUGAAAGGCAGUUAAACAAAAUAGAGACAUGAAACGCACUAUAUAAGAGCAAUGUAAAAUAGAGAUAUGAAAGACACUACAUAAAGUAAAGCUAAAAUUAAAUAAAUGCUACAUAAAAUCCAAGUAUAGCUAGACAGAUCAAGUGACGGAUAUGAAAGGCACUUUAUGAAACACACUUAACGUCAGAGGCCGUACCUAACGCCUUCAACACACCCGAUUGAUCAGACCCGAUCAGUCGCCAACAGCACCGUCUUGUAACUUUUCUCCCAUUCUGCGUCACGAAGCCUGUGGCGUAACGGGAGCCGAUGUAGUUGUCGGACAGCUCAUCCGUCAUGGCCGCCGGGUGUUUUGACAACCAGUCAGCCUCUAGGUAGGGCAGGAGAAUAAAAGUAAAGGUUGUUCUGACCAAACUUGACUUUCCUUUCGUUGUACUUCUUAUGUAUUUUUAAUAAAAAGACAAGCCAGUGUUUGGGGAGAGACGCGGUUGAGAGACGCAGCGUGCGUGUCCACUGUCCCCCCCGAGGUGUGUAUAUUGUUAAACAGUGUGCCGUCGCUCCUUGCACAAUGUCGCUAUGCGAGCAUGUAUGUAGGGAGGGAGGGGGGGCGGUGUUGGCUUUUCUGUUUGUUUCAUUUUGGGGGUUUUUGGCGAUGGGUGAAAAUGUUGUAAAUACAAUAAAAAUUGUCAAACUGGA